AAGAAUUUGAAACUAAAUCAGUGAAGGUUUAACCAGCCUUGCUACAACAACAAUGAAAUAUUAUUAACUGAACAACAUUCUACAAUCCUAUAUAGAUGGAAUAAUGGUUCACCUUUUCUUUCCACAAAAUUCUGAUCGAAGAUUUGAACAGAUUCAGCAAAAAAACAUGGUUAACAUGUAAAAUGCCGCUAGACGAUUUCAAUAUAAAGAAGAAAAAAAAUCAUGUCAUCUCCACCUGCAUACUAAACUUCCUAAUCGACAACUAAUGCCACGAUAUAUGGGUCUUUGGCCUGACAAUACUCUCCACCGGCAAUGUCUCGUCCUUCCGCUAGAUAUCCACCUUUAAAUUUGAAGAAUUUAAAUACUACAGUAGUAACUAACACAUCUGCUCUCAGGUAUGAAUUCUUAAAAAUAGGGGCCGCCAUACUCUGCAAUAUACAUGCAUAACAACAAAAAUGAUACAUGAGAACAUUUGAUUUUGAAUAAGAUUGCUCGUAAUCAUCCAUAGAAACUUGCUACAAAAAUAGUUUUCAUUACGCAUACCUGAACAUAUGACAUGCCUAUCAUGGCCUUCAUUGCAAUGUAAACACACAUACAUCAAAUUAUCAAUAAAUCAAGUUCCUCACAUUCAACCCGACAGAAAUAAAUGAAAGCAAAUCAUUCAUGAAUUUGCACAGAAAUCUGGAGGAUAUUUGAGUAGUAUCAAAGCUAUAAGCGAACUUGUAUAUGUGCGAACCUGUGUCAAUCAAACUACAGUGCAACAUUUCUCUCUUCCCUAGUUCUCCACAAAAUGUUUGAUCUUUGUCAAUCGUGACUAUCAAUGAUCCAGUGAACCAUAUAUUGGCUGGGGUGAGUAAUAAGUGGUCUCUGCAGUAAAGAAAACACAAGAACAUAUAUAACAACUUUCCAUUACCAGAGAAAUAACUAAAUUAUUCAGAAGCUUCAGGCAAUAAUGAAUAGCAAGUAAUUAGUAAUACUCUGCAAGCUUCAGGCAAUGAAUUAGUGCUGAAAGUGAAAUAUAUAAGAGAGAAAUAACUGAAAAUUGUUCAGAAGCUUCAGGCAAUCCAUAACCGAAGCAAGAAGCGUCAGCGCGUAGAGCGACCAGUUUGAGGAUUCAAUACCUUGAGGAUUUUAAUUUUAUAAUCGCUAGGUAAUUAAUCAGGAGGAAAAAAACAUACCUGAAUAUAUAAUGGAGUGAAAAGUUGAACGGCUGGUGAAGUCCACACCAAGAUAUGUACUGACAACCUGUCAGUACCAGGGCAAUAUUCGUUGGGGAAGAUACCUGAAAACUGAGUUGCAAGCAUAGCUUGUUUCCGUUAUCCUUGGUUCAUAUGCACAGUCUGUUUGGAGGUCAUGGCUUUCCUUACCCUGCAGCAGGGCUAAACUCCAGAUACCUUCAGCCAACCAGAGAGAGUGAAAGCUCAACUCUUCUUUUUUACUUGGGCCAAAGAUAUGCUUACCAAAAUG
rnacentral:lncRNA from 1 species